UUGCGGCUGCUCCGCCGCCGCCUCCCCCAUGACCACGCCGGACGGCGAGAUGUGGCCCACCCUCCACUACCGCCGCCGCUCGCCGCUGGAAGACGAGGAUCUGCUCGCGGAGAUCCUCCUCCGCCUCCCGCCGCAGCCGUCCUCCCUCCCCCGCGCCUCCGCCGUCUGCAGGCGCUGGCGCGGCGUCGUCUCCGACCGUGGCUUCCUCCGCCGCUACUGCCGGCACCACCGCCGCAGCCCUCCCCUCCUCGGUUUCUUCCGCAACGACCUGCGAGGCAUCUCCUACACGCCUGCCAUGGAGGCCCCCGACCGUGUCCCCGCCGGGCGCUUCUCCGUGCAUCUCGGCGACCCCGGCUACCACUUCCGUCUCCUCAGCUGCCGCCACGGCCUCGUGCUCAUCUCCCACUCGUCGCAGAGCCAGGUCCUGGUGUGGGACCCCGUCACCGGCGACCAGCACCGCAUUGCCGCUCCUCUGGGGUUCGACAUGAACAGUACCCCCAUGGACGGGGCCGUGCUUCGCGUUGCCGGCGACGCCCACCACUUCCAGGUGGUAUUGGUAAGCUACAAACAGGAUGAUGAACAGGCGACCGUCUCCAUUUACUUGUCCGAGACCGGUGGAUGGAGUGAUCUUAUCUCAACACCGGUUCCAGGCAAGGCCAUGGAUUAUGAAGGCAUGCCCGCUGUGCUGGCCGGGGAUUCCAUUUACUGGCUGCUACCUGGGGAUGGUAUUAAUGUAAUUCUAGAAGUUGAUUUGGAUAACCAGAGCCUAGCUGCGAUCCCGGUGCCGAUGAAUAUGUUUGCCCAAGGUCAAGACUUGAUGGUUAUGCGAGCAGAGGGUGGCCGGUUGGGCAUACUCUCCAUGUCCAUAUUCAAGGCCGAGUUAUGGAAGAGGAAUACCGACGGUGAUGGUGUUGCUUCUUGGGUGUUGGGACAAACUAUUCAACUGGACAAGCUACUUCCCCUAAAUUCAGAUAAGACAGGCCACAUAUCGAUGCUAGCUUAUGCUGAGGAAAAUAAUGUGGCUUUCUUGCGUACGGUUGCCGGUAUCUUCAUGGUCCAGCUCGAGUCAUGGCAGUUCAGUAAACUUCCUGAAAACAACAACGCUGUUGUCUGUUAUCCAUUCGAAAGUGUCUAUGCUGCAGAAGCAGGCAUUGGUGGUGCCAUGGAAUAGAUCAAGAUAUGCUAGUAUGAUGUACUGGUUGAACAGGCAAGCUUAUCUUCUGAAUAUAUGUUGAGUUACCAGACUUACGUUUCGGUGGAUGAGUUGCAGAAGUGGCCUGUUUGAAGCUAUCCACACAGAAACUUACCCUUUAUGUAGGAUGCAUUGGUCAGCUCUGAAGUGGAAUUAAUCACUUAUUUUGCUCAAACCCGUCUUGUUAUCGAACACAGUCAGUUGGCCAGCUGACAUGAAGACAUCACAUUUGCUUGUAUUAAUCAAUACCUUUGACGUGA